GAUGAACGCUGGCGGCGUGCCUAAUACAUGCAAGUCGAGCGAACAGACGAGGAGCUUUCUCCUCUGACGUUAGCGGCGGACGGAUUAGUAACACAUGGAUAACCUACCUAUAAGACUGGGAUAACUACGGGAACCCGGAGCUAAUACCGGCUAAUAUAUUAAACCGCAUGGUUCAAUAGUGAAAGACGGUUUUGCUGUCACUUAUAGAUGGAUCCGCGCCGCAUUAGCUAGUUGGUAAGGUAACGGCUUACCAAGGCAACGGUGCGUAGCCGACCUGAGGGGGUGAACCGCCACAAUUGAAACUGAAACAGGUCCCGGACCCCAAGGGAGGGCAGCAGAGGGGAACUUCCGCAAUGGGGGGAAGCCCGGCGGCACAACGGCGCGUGGGUGAAAGAGGGCCUCCGAGCUGAAAACCCUGUUAUUAGGGAAGAAAAAAUGUGUAAGUAACUACGGGGGUUGUGAAGGUAACUAAACAGAAAGCCACGGCUAAAUACGUG
rnacentral:rRNA from 1 species